rnacentral:rRNA from 1 species
AACGAACGCUGGCGGCAUGCCUAACACAUGCAAGUCGAACGAGACCUUCGGGUCUAGUGGCGCACGGGUGCGUAACGCGUGGGAACCUGCCCUUAGGUUCGGAAUAACUCCCCGAAAGGGGUGCUAAUACCGGAUAAUGUCUUCGGACCAAAGAUUUAUCGCCUUUGGAUGGGCCCGCGUUGGAUUAGCUAGUUGGUAGGGUAAAAGCCUACCAAGGCGACGAUCCAUAGCUGGUCUGAGAGGAUGAUCAGCCACACUGGGACUGAGACACGGCCCAGACUCCUACGGGAGGCAGCAGUGGGGAAUAUUGGACAAUGGGCGAAAGCCUGAUCCAGCCAUGCCGCGUGAGUGAUGAAGGCCUUAGGGUUGUAAAGCUCUUUUACCCGGGAUGAUAAUGACAGUACCGGGAGAAUAAGCUCCGGCUAACUCCGUGC